GGACCAAUAGCUCAGUUGGUUAGAGCAGAGUCACUGGCAUUGCCGAGGUCCUGGGUUCAAUCCCCAGCUGGUCCA